AUGCAGUUCUACGACUAUCCUAUAGCUUUUACAUCUAAUUCCAGACCUGUUAUGUCUAAACCGGAGCUUGCCACACUAAACAAUGACAGGUGCAAUAUACCGCAGCUGCGCCUAAAAAUUUGCAUUCGCCUUCCUACCCGCCUUAAAAGAGUAAAAACCACAAGCAUAAGUAAAGUGAGACUUGCUAUUGUUAAAUCGACUCUUGCCAAGCUUAAGAAAUCGCUUUGCCUGCGUGUUCCGACUUCUAAAGGAGUUAAAAUCACAAGCAUAACCGAAGUGGAGGUAAGAAAAAGAAACGGAUAUAUGCUAGGAUUUAGAAUUCGCAGGCAUGCUAAACUGCCUUUGUUCUGCUUAAAUCGGGACCUGUUGAAGACAAAUCAUAUUCAGGGCUCUAAUCCCACUUUUCCAGGUUCAGAAUUCACAGUACAAGCUGAUGGGGAUAUGCAGUGCUCAAACCCACGAAUUUGGAAGAUGAAGCAAUUGCACUUAAGGCUAAAACCAGAUGUGCUAUGAUUAAGCAAUAAGAAAGAGUCCUACAUUGGAUGCUAAUCUGAGGGAUCCAUAGGAGAGGGAGCUGGCAGGACCAAUGAUCCCUGAAGAUCCGGCCACGGCUUCUCCAGUAGUAAGAAAUUGUAAUCCGCGGUGUCCCAGGCAAUGCAGCGGAAGAUCACAGUGGAAGUUAGAGACCGAUAAACCCCGCAGUCCUAUGACUCCGAUUUCAAUUUAUGAGUGUGAAAUAUCUCAAAACACUGACCUUACAAAACAAAGAUAUCUCGUAAAUAAAUAUAAAAUCUACUUCAUAUUAUACCUUAUAAAUGCUCAGGGAUACCUGACAAACUCCAUAAACGAAGCUAGCAUAAAUAUAUACAUGAAUUAUAAAAACCAUAUAAUGUAAUGAGAAGGCAUAGCAAUAAUAGUUAAAAUAAUUGGAAGAUGGUUAAGAACUACUCUCUUAAAAAUAAAGACGUACUAUGUAUAAUGAGAUCCCGGAUUCAAUCAAUGAAACCUCUCUUUUAAAAAAAGGACCUUCUAUAAAAGAAAUAUAAAAUGUAUGAAACAUAACACCUUAUAAAUAUUUAGGGAUGCGAUAUAAAUUGAAUAAAGAAACUUGUAUCCAUAUCUGAAAUUAAAUACAUAGCACAAUGUGUAUGUAAACAUAUAAUAUGAAAAUACAACUUGAACAAAAUUAAGAAAUAAUAUUUCUGAAACCAAGAAAUAAAUCAUAAAACAAAUCCGACAAAAUCCUUAGAGUAAUUGCAUUUCUCAUAAAUGAAAUAAAUAACGAUAUUAACCUGAGCCCUGGACGACGCAAACCAUAUAUCAUAAAGCUGAGUGGUGAUCUAAAAAAGAAUCUCGGUAUAAAACAAAUAACAAAAUUUCCACAAAAUACUUGCAAGCAGUAAAAUAUAAAUACAAUUUGAAGUGCUAAUAGAACCAUAGCAAAACAUACUGUACCCAGCCAUCUUAGCACACCGGACGGAAACAACAUUCAAAAAUAAACAAAUCAAACCGAGAAUUAAAGGUACUAGGGGGAAAAAACCUGUUCUAAUCCGUGCAGUCCUACGAUUGUCUGAAGGUUUUAUCCAAUCACACCCUCGUUAUGUCUAAACCGGAGGUCGCUACACUAAGAAAAUGCGGGAACCAGUAUACCACAGUUGCAGGCCUAAAAAUUUGCAUUCGCUUCCUACCCUACUUACAGGGAGUUAGAAACCACAAACAUACCUAAAGGGAGAUUUGCUCUUGCUAAAUCAAACCUUUCCAGUCUUAAGAAAUCGUUUUCGCUGCACGCUGACUUCUGCUGGCGUUAAAAUCACAAGCACAGCUAAAGUGGAGACGUGAUGACGAAAUCAAUCUAUGCUACGACUUAGAAUUCGCGGGCUUGGCAAACCGUCCUCGUUCUGCUGAAAACGGCCGCUGGUGAAGGGAACAGCCCACACAGGGCUCUAAGCCCCCAGUCACCAGGUCCAGAGCUCACAGCGCAAGCGCAGGGGCACACGCGCG
rnacentral:lncRNA from 1 species